UACGAAGGGUGCAAGCGUUACUCAGAAUUACUGGGCGUAAAGCGUGCGUAGGUGGUUUGUUAAGUCUGAUGUGAAAGCCCUGGGCUCAACCUGGGAAUUGCAUUGGAUACUGGCAGGCUAGAGUGCGGUAGAGGGUAGUGGAAUUCCCAGUGUAGCGGUGAAAUGCGUAGAUAUUGGGAGGAACACCGGUGGCGAAGGCGGCCCUCUGGGACCGGUACUGACGCUGAUGCGCGAAAGCGUGGGGAGCAAACGGG
rnacentral:rRNA from 1 species